rnacentral:rRNA from 1 species
GAUGAACGCUGGCGGCGUGCCUAAUACAUGCAACUCGAGCGAACAGACGAGGAGCUUGCUCCUCUGACGUUAGCUGCGGACGGGUGAGUAACACGUGGAUAACCUACCUAUAAGACUGGGAUAACUUCGGGAAACCGGAGCUAAUACCGGAUAAUAUAUUGAACCGCAUGGUUAAAUAGUGAAAGACGGUUUUGCUGUCACUUAUAGAUGGAUCCGCGCCGCAUUCGCUAGUUGGUAAGGUAACGGCUUACCAAGGCAACGAUGCGUAGCCGACCUGAGAGGGUGCCAGGCCACCCGGGAACUGAGCCACGGUCCGGACUCCUGCGGGAGGCAGCAGCCGGGAACCUUGAGCCAUGCGCGAAAGCCUGAAGGAGGCCUGGCGCGUGCGUGAUGAAGGUCUUCGGAUCGUAACACUCUGUUAGUAGGGAAGAACAAAUGUGUCAGUACCUAUGCACGUCUUGACGGUACCUAAGCAGAAGGCCAGGGCUGACUUCGUG